rnacentral:lncRNA from 1 species
CAGGCAUGAAACCUGAGGGUGACUGUGGGUGAUGGAGAAGUGGAAGUGAGAGCCCUUCCUCUGACGUGCACAGGAUAUGAAAAUGUCUGAUAGUGUUGUGGCUGCAGUGAGACCUGGGAGUGGCAGUUUCUUUCACUGCAGUUGUCUGUCCAAAGCGAAGUGAACUAGCAAGUCUCUUACAAAAGGGCAAGCUCUGAACUGCGCACAGUUUCAUAGGUCUCUAAUCGUGGGAAACCUCGUAUGGCAGAAUGCAGGUCCAAAAGUCCUGGACUCUGAUCCAGAUAAACGGAAGUCUCAGGAAGAAAUAAAGAAAUUGGGACACAGAGAAUGUAAAUGGAGAUGCAGUGGAAUCAGACUCCAGAGUUCCCACUCAAAAACUUUUCUCUCUCUCCUAUCUUGUGAGGAAGGACAUUUUAGGUAUUACUUCAUCUAGAAAGGAAUGGCUCUUCAGCGAGGCAAGCAGAACUGGGAAUGCAGAGCCCAGGUUUGCAGCUUCACUUCUGAAGUCAAGC